rnacentral:rRNA from 1 species
AUUGAACGCUGGCGGCAGGCCUAACACAUGCCAGUCGAGCGAGCGGCGGACGGGUGAGUAAUGUCUGGGAAACUGCCUGCUGGAGGGGGCUAACUACUGGAAACGGUAGCUAAUACCGCAUACCAUCAGAUGUGCCAAGAUGGGAUUAGCUUGUCGGUGGGGUAACGGCUCACCUAGGCGACGAUCCCUAGCUGGUCUGAGCGGCAAACCAUCCACACGGGAACGGAGACACGGUCCAGACUCCUACGUGCGGCAGCAGUGGGGAAUAUUGCACAAUGGGCUCAAGCCUGAUGCAGCCAUGCCGCGUGUGUGAAGAAGGCCUUCGGGUUGUAAAGCACUGUCAGCGGGGAGGCGUUACCCGCAGAAGAAGCACCGGCUAACUCCGUGCCAGCAGCCGCGGUAAUAC